rnacentral:rRNA from 1 species
AACGAACGCUGGCGGCAUGCCUAACACAUGCAAGUCGAACGAGACCUUCGGGUCUAGUGGCGCACGGGUGCGUAACGCGUGGGAAUCUGCCCUUGGGUUCGGAAUAACAGUGAGAAAUUACUGCUAAUACCGGAUGAUGUCUUCGGACCAAAGAUUUAUCGCCCAGGGAUGAGCCCGCGUAGGAUUAGCUAGUUGGUGGGGUAAUGGCCUACCAAGGCGACGAUCCUUAGCUGGUCUGAGAGGAUGAUCAGCCACACUGGGACUGAGACACGGCCCAGACUCCUACGGGAGGCGGCAGUGGGGAAUAUUGGACAAUGGGCGCAAGCCUGAUCCAGCAAUGCCGCGUGAGUGAUGAAGGCCUUAGGGUUGUAAAGCUCUUUUACCCGGGAUGAUAAUGACAGUACCGGGAGAAUAAGCUCCGGCUAACUCCGUG